rnacentral:lncRNA from 1 species
UGAUGAGGGAAGGAACAACUUUAAUCUUUUACUUUAUAAGUAGGGAACACACAAGUGAUUUUUCGGGUCGUGUCAUGUGAAUAAAGGCUAAGUUGCUCUGUAACCCAGCAGUGAUAUCCCAUAAUUCUUUUUGAUUCAAGACAAAUUCUUAAACCUAACCAUUUUGAUUCAUCACUAACGAACGAAACAUACAUAUUUUAGAUUUCUGAAGAUUUAUAAUACUGCAAUCAUGGACCAUUAUAAUAAAGAAAAAAUGGCAAUUGAAACAGUUCUUUUUGUUUUAAGGCUUCGAAUGUUUACAACCGUCC